rnacentral:lncRNA from 1 species
CCAUCAUGAAAUAUACCAGCUGCUCAAAAUUUGGUGGAAUGGGUAAAUCCAAAUCCACAUUGUUGCAGAUUUGAACACCUGUUGCUCAGACACUAAUAUAUCAGAUACAAAGCAAGCUUAGAAAUCCAAGGGCUGAAUGAUAUAGCAAAGGGCCUCUAGCUUUUAGAACUGCAGCUAGCAAGCAGGGAACUCACUUCAUUUGUGCACAUGGGGAGUUUUACCAUCUGUUUAGUCAUGUGAAACAGCUUGUUAAAUUCCCAGAUACCAUGUUCUGCGUCCCUACUGUGGUGAAGUUACAGUCACCAACCAAAGGGGGCAGAGAGUGGAUGGCUUCUCCCCUUGGGGAUGUGCGUUUCUCCAGCAUCUGGGUCUCCCAAAGUGUAAGUGGCUUCCAGUGGGGGACUUUCCCCAAAGGACCUGGGCCAGGGAGGCCAGUGGCCAGGCUGUAGGGCUGCUGGCCUGUGUCUGUCCUCCCAUUGCUCCUAUCUCUCCAGCCCUUUCCUCCUCCAAAUCCCUGCUAGAAGGCACGGAAGAGGCUACCUCUAGAUGAGGCAGGGGAGCUUCUGAAGUUGCCUUCUGACGUGUGGGGUGGAUUGUGUGAGGAAUGGUUGGCCAUUCCAAGCCGGCCAGCCUCACAUUCUGGGUUCAAACUGGUAUGGGCACUUAGCACUUCCUGGGAGCCUUCCUCGGGUUUUGUUUCAUGCCGUCCAGUAGGGUGAUGGAAUUGUGACCUCUUGCCCAUCUAGAGGCAAGAGACAGUAACAAUCCUUUGGGGCGAGAGGUGUCCCUGCUGAACCCUGAAAGUUGCCCUGAAGAGCCUGGGACCCAGAGGUGUCUCUAUGGAACCCUCCACUAUAGUUUCUGAUCAGACAAGCAACCCUAACCUGUAAACCUCUUUGGCCUGGCAAGCCUCCCCAAGAUGGACCCCAGUCCACUGAUGUGUAUCCUUGGAAGAGGGGGAACCCUAUUUCCUGUUCUAAGAUAGCACCUAGUUUGGCAAACCACCGCUUCUUUCUCCUUCCCAAACUCCCCCCCAGGCCAAUGAUUAGGUCUCCCCACCAAUGCCUGAAGGGGCAAUGGAGGCAAUCCCUUUGUCCUCAGGCAAAAUACAGAAUCAAAUAUAAGUGAUCAGAGAUUUCAGACUUGAAAAUUAUGGUGUCUCCAUGCACAGGGUUUGGGAAGAUGCAUAGGAGGCGCCUCAAGGGACAC